rnacentral:rRNA from 1 species
UGGGGAAUAUUGGACAAUGGGGGAAACCCUGAUCCAGCGACGCCGCGUGGGUGAAGAAGGCCUGCGGGUUGUAAAGCCCUUUCGGUAGGGAAGAAAUCUCUUGCUCUAACAAAGCAAGGGUUUGACUUAACCUACAUAAGAAGCACCGGCUAACUCUGUGCCAGCAGCCGCGGUAAUACAGAGGGUGCGAGCGUUAAUCGGAAUUACUGGGCGUAAAGCGCACGUAGUCGGCUUGCCAAGUCGGGUGUGAAAUCCCCGGGCUCAACCUGGGAACUGCAUCCGAAACUGGCUUGCUAGAGUAUGGGAGAGGGAGGCGGAAUUUCUGGUGUAGCAGUGAAAUGCGUAGAUAUCAGAAGGAACAUCAGUGGCGAAGGCGGCCUCCUGGACCAAUACUGACGAUCAGGUGCGAAAGCGUGGGGAGCAAACA